rnacentral:rRNA from 1 species
AUUGAACGCUGGCGGCAUGCCUUACACAUGCAAGUCGAACGGCAGCACGGGGCAACCUGGUGGCGAGUGGCGAACGGGUGAGUAAUGCAUCGGAACGUACCUUUCAGUGGGGGAUAACGUAGCGAAAGUUACGCUAAUACCGCAUAUUCUGUGAGCAGGAAAGCAGGGGAUCGCAAGACCUUGCGCUGAUUGAGCGGCCGAUGUCAGAUUAGCUAGUUGGUGAGGUAAAGGCUCACCAAGGCGACGAUCUGUAGCGGGUCUGAGAGGAUGAUCCGCCACACUGGAACUGAGACACGGUCCAGACUCCUACGGGAGGCAGCAGUGGGGAAUUUUGGACAAUGGGGGCAACCCUGAUCCAGCCAUGCCGCGUGAGUGAAGAAGGCCUUCGGGUUGUAAAGCUCUGUGGGGAGGGACGAAAGACUGGAGUCGAAUAGGCUACCAGGUUGACGGUACCUCCUUAGCAAGCACCGGCUAACUCUGUGCCAGCAGCCGCCGUAAUAC